CUCCGCCUCCGCCUCCGAGCUCCGCCUCCGCCUCUUCAAGAAGUCCGCGGCCGCCUCAUCUUGAUCGACGCGACGACGACCAUCGACGACGCGACAACUACGUCCGACCUCCUCGUUACCUCCUCAAUUUGAAAGUGGUUAUGGUUAUGAUAAGGGUCAUAUCCGAACCGAAUGCACCCCUACCUACAGCAAUACAACCUCAGUAGCGAACAGAAAACAGACGAAACGAAACUCACGGAUGAAACUACCGGCGGCGAGCCUCAGAGAUCUCGUCACCUCUAGGACCUCAUCAAACUUACAAAGCUAAGAGAUUCCGUCACCGCUCUCUCCCACCUCCAAACUCUCACCACCGACGACCGCCAAUACGCUCCUACCUCCUCCGCCGUUGCCGCUCCGUUCGCCCUCUCCAUCGACACCGUCGUGCGUAUACCUUUGUAUUCUUCAACAACUCCCAUUAAUAUUGUAAUCUCUCCUAACUUCUAAAAUGCACAAUGUCCUCAACCUGUUUGAUGAAAUGCGCGGCACAAAUUUUAAAGUCAGGUCUUGGGGGUUGUAAUGUGUUGGUUGCCCGUAUCAUGCAUACACUUACUUGGAUGUAAUAUGUAAUGCUCUUAACUCUUCUAUUUAUUUGACUAUCUAUUGUGAUAAUGCAUGAUUUUAUCGUCUCAAGCUUCGGCUUGUAUAUAGAUGUUGCAUUUGCAUACA